AGGUGAGAUGGCGUGGUGAUACGGAGCUUCAAUUAAGAGAGAGAUCCACCAGGAAACCGAUGAUGUGGUUCCUACGUGACUUCAAUCAGCCUUUUACCUGACAACGCGAGGCACGGGGAUGCGUGUGUAAUGGCGGCGGCCCUGGUGCCAGAGGUGAAGGUUAUCCCUGAGGAUGAUGGGGAUGACGACGGAAACAGUCCUUAUGUGGAUCCCUCGAGCCUAGCCUCUCACGGUAUACUGGGGGCCACGGGGGGUCGAUCCCAUGGCCCCCUACUGGUCCCUCCCCCGCGCUUCCAGCCCGAAGAUGAAGAUGAUGACCCUGCCUGGCUGGACCUCACUGAUGGGGCCACCUACCUCGACUGUCCGGACCUCCUGCACCCCUACACCUCCCUCAGGCCGCGUCUCUCAUA